GGGGAUUUAGCUCAGUGGUAGAGCACUUGCCUAGCAUGCACAAGGCCCUGGGUUCGGUCCCCAGCUCCG
rnacentral:tRNA from 1 species